rnacentral:pre_miRNA from 1 species
GAAAUGGGAGUUGAGCCCAUCAAAACUUUUGGAAUGGGUGGGUUGGUAAGCUUUUUCUUUUUUAUAUGUGUGAUUCCUUAGCUUACCAAUUCCACCCAUUCCUAUGGGUUUUUGGGCUCUUCUCCUUUUUC